UUCCAGCAUUACAGCAACAUGCAAGACAUUGUAGUACAACAAACUAAUGGGUAUAGUAUGACACACUACGAUGGCUGUAAGUUAAAAAAUGGAAAAUAAAAAGUGUUCGGGAGGAUGUGGAGAAAGUGAAACCCUCAUGUACUGCUGGGAGGAACGCAAAAUGGUGCAGCUGCUUUGGGAAACAGUUUGGCAGCUCCUCAAAAGGCUAAACAGAAAGUUGCUAUAUGACCAGCAACUCUACUCCUAGGGAUAUACCCAACAGAACUGAAAAUAUACAUUCACGCUUAGAGAGAGCACCCACAGUGUUGUACUAAAACCCUGUUUCCUUUGCUGGCUUCCCGGCCCCCCAGCUUUGCAUCUGAAUUCUGCUUUUGCUUGGAGGUUAUAUGUAAACCCCACUGCACCUGCGUAGUAUGGUUAAGAAUGUUGUUGAUGUAACCUGUAUGAACUCCCUACUUGUAAAUCCCCUUCAAAGUAACUUCCCUGCCCAUCCUUGGCGAGCAGUCUUGGCAGCAGCUCCAACUGACUCCUUUCCUUGUACAACGAAAUAAAGGUGCCUUUCCUGCUUUCCCACAUGGGUCUCUUGUUUAUUGGCCAAUAUGAGUCAUGCCAAGCAAGUACCUGGGGUUUCUACCCGGUAACGUUUCUGGCAAGCUAGCCAGGAGCCAUCUGCUCGGUUCCUGAGGUAGAUGAGAAAACAGACUGGCCCUGACAUCUGGCACCACCAGGAGAUUUCUCCUGGAGACCCUGGAGCAGCUCUGAAGGCUGAUCCCCCCAAGACCCAAAUGAUGGCUUAGAUGGGAGACACGAAAUGCUCUUGGGUUGUUUGGGAUUCUAAAACCAUGAAUCCAGUCAAUCUCAAGGAGCCCCGGACUGCGGAGCAGAGGCGGACAAAAAGAGAGGUCCUAUCUUCUGGACCCGAGCAUUCACACGCCACAUUCCUUUGACAGCAAUGGGAUAAGUUUUUACUUUGUUGAUUUGCUGAAAACGUUUGACCAAAAUAUCUCAGCAAAAAGAUGGACUAUACUGGACUGGAGAAAAGGACUGUGACUAGACUGAAUAAAAUUUCCAGAACUCCUGUGCAGAAGCCGGCAGGUUCACAGAUUGCAGGUGAUCCUGAAUCACGUGGAACAGAAAUGAACUACAUGAGACUGAGUAAAUGAAAGGAAACUAUGGGUUUUAUUUGGGGAUACUGCUGAUGUUUUAAAGUCCUACUUUCUGGAUAUAAGAAACCAUUUUCCUUUCUCCCAAAUCAUCUAACUAAUGGGUUUACAUAUUGUAAUUCUUAAAAGUUCUUGGUGGUAAUCUUAGUAAAAUUGUAACUAUCAUAACCUGAGAUGUGUCUGAAAUUCGAGCCAUGAUCUUACAAAUCAGAACAGCAUUAGAUUUCCUAUUAGUUCUCCCGAGGAGCUGAUUGUGCCUUAACAGACAGAUGUUGCUGCGUUUAUAUUAACACUCAGUCUGAGGUCUGCAGAAUGGAGUUGUUGCUGAGGCACAUGAAAAGCCAUUACUGAUGCUGCUUAUGUGCAGACGAACACCUCAAGAGAUUUCUUUCCUUGGUUCAAAGACCUUAGGGUCAUGGUUUCACUGGUUAUUUCAGACAACUGGCCUAAUAUUACUGUUACCAUUUCUAUUCUACCUCCUAGUUACCUCUUGUUGCACUUGGGUAAAUAACACAAGACAAGUAGAACAAGAUAUAUAUAGAAUUAGGCAACGAGCUACUUGAUUACAUGCUGUAACACCCUUACAAACACCGUAUUUAUUUGCCUGGUUACCAUCAGGAAUAAGUACAUGGGCUAGAUCACUACAGCAAGGAACAGUAAUAUUCUUAGUCUGCAUCCUAGUAUUAGGCACGUUAAACUUAUCUUCUAUUGUCUUACACAUUUAAAAGGCAAAAGAAGGCCUUAGGCUAAAAUGUUGAUGUACAUUGAGUCUGCUCACUUUGGCAAAGGGAUUGAUGAGAACAUAACUCUUACUUAAGACCCUGGUGAAGAACCAGAUGGUAUCUGGUGGAAAACCAACACCUUGUGUUUAAAGAACCUGCCAUGGCCGCCAUCUAAGGGCUCAACUAAGUCCAGGUAUUAAUCAUCAAUGUGCUACCUCCAAGCUCUGAUCAAAAGAAAAGAAUGAUUUAGGAGAUAAUACUGGAGCCAUAUCCCCUAUCCUUGAGCAUAGAGAAUGUGACCCUGCUGAAGCUGGACUCACAAAGACUCAAAAGACAUAUCAAUUAGGCCCUGAGGUAUAAAGACAAUAGCUAAGAGAAUAAAAAUCUUUUAGGGAAAUAGUCACAUAAACAGGGCAUAAAAGCCACUCUUUUUCUUUUAAUAUUUAGUAAAUAGUUAUAAACCAACAAGAGGUCAGUAGCCACAACGAAAGGCCUAGGUCCAGUAUUUAUGCCCCUCCCCGAAAUUAUGCGAAACAAUUCCAAGCCGAGCUAUAGCUCAAAAUGGACACUGGUCUCGAAUGACCAAUGUCCCAAAAGAAAUGAGAGGAGUGAGACAGAGCCCCCACAGUAUUGUAUUAAAAACCCUGUUUCCUUUGCUGGGCUUCCCCACCCCCCAGCUUUGCAUUUGAAUCCUGCUUUUGCUUGCAGGUUAUAGGUAAACCCCAUUGCACCCACGUAAUAUGAUUAAGAAUGUUGCUGAUGUGACUUGUAUGAACUCUCCACUUGUAAACCCCUUUAAUAGUAACCUGCCUGCCUGCCCGCCCUUGGCGAGCAGUCUUGGCAGCAGUAAGCACCGACUGACUCCAUUUCCUUGUACAAUGAAAUAAAGGCACCUUUCCUGCUCUCCCACCUUGGUCUCUCAUUUAUUGGCCAAUAUGAGUCAUGUCAAACAAGAACCUGGGGUCUCCACCCUGUUACAACACAAAAACUUGUACACAAACAUUCACAGCAGCAUUGUUCACAAUAGCUGCAAAGUGGAAACAACCCACAUGACCAUCAACUGAUGAAUCGGCAAAUGAAAUGUGGUAUAUCCAUACAGUGGACUAUGACUCAGCCAUAAAAAGGAUGUGGUGAUAGAUGCUGUGAUAUGGAUGAACCCUGGAAACAUCACGCUAAGUAAAAGAAGCCAGACACAAAAGGCUCCGUGCUGUACAACGCUAUUUAUGUAAGAUGUCCAGAAUAGGCAAAUGUGUAGUGAGGAAAAGCAGAUUAGAGGUUGCCAGGAGCAGGGAGGAGGGGGCAAUGAAGAGUGACUGCUUAAGAGGUAUGGGACUUCUUUAUGGGGUGUUGAGAAUGUUCUGGAACUAGACAGAGGUGAUGGUUACACAACACUGUGAAUAUACUAAAAACCACUGAAUGGCACACUUUAAAGGUGGCUAUAACGGUACAUUUUACGUUACAUAAAUUUUACUUCAACAAAAAGAACAAAUAAUCACCUGUACUAAAAAACUCAGAGCAGUCUCUCUCAGCUGCAGAGAUUUCUCUUACGUUCCUUUUCCUUUAAGUAUUAACCUGAAAAUGUCAAAUUACUAUGCCUGAUCUAUAAAAUGGGAUCGUAAUAAGUGCUGUCAUGAGAAGGUUUUGAAAGGAGCCCUGGUGGUUCAACAGUUAAGCCCUCGGCUAACCAGAAGGCGGGCAGUUGAAACCCACCCAAUGGCUUAAAGUGGGAGAAGGAUCUGGUGGCCUGCUCCAGUAAAGAUCAGAGCCCAGAGAGCCCUAUGGGGCAGUUCUACUCUGUUAUAUAGGGUCUCUAUGAGUCAAAACUGACUUGAUGGCACCUGAAAACAAUAAGGUUGUAAGAAGACUAAGAGUAAACAAAGCCCUGGUGGUGCAGGGGAUAAGAGCUUGGCUGCUAACCAAAAGGGCUGGCAGUUCAAAUCCACGAGGUACUCCUUGGAAACCCUAUGGGACAGUUCCUAUAGGGUUGCUAUGAGUCGGAAUAAACUCAGCGGCAACGGGUUUUUUGGUUAUGACAGUAAAUACAUGUAAAGUGCUCAGAACAGUGCCUGACACGAUACCUCUCAAAAAAUGUUCCCCAUUAGCAGUCGUAUUGGA